UUUGGGGUCAGACCUAUAAUCCGACAGUCCCAUAAUCCGACAGUCCGAUAGUCCGACAGUCCUUUAAUCCGACAGCCCGAUAGUCCGACAGUCCUAUAAUCCGACAGCCCGAUAGUCCGACGCACGGUCACUUGUCUCUGAAAAGUAUGCCUAUAUAGACAUGGAACGUUUGUAAAUUGGUAUAUUUUUUCACACAGAAAAUUAACAAAUCAGUCAGUAUGACGUCUUGUACAGGA
rnacentral:lncRNA from 1 species